GCGGGCGUAGUUCAAUGGUAGAACGAGAGCUUCCCAAGCUCUAUACGAGGGUUCGUACUUCCCUUCGCCCGCUCCA
rnacentral:tRNA from 1 species